GCGAAUGUAGUUCAAUGGUAGAACAUCAGCUUCCCAAGCUGAGAAUGCGGGUUCGAUUCCCGUCAUUCGCUCCA
rnacentral:tRNA from 1 species